GUUAAUGUAGCUUAAAGUAAAGCAAAGCACUGAAAAUGCUUAGAUGGUUUUUUAAAAAUCCCAUAAA
rnacentral:tRNA from 1 species